rnacentral:misc_RNA from 1 species
AAAAUAAUCCUACCCUUUGUGAAUUUUGUUUGUUUGAAUAAUUUUUUUUUUUAAAAAAUUAUUGGAGUCUUUCCCUUUAGAGUUUGCCUUUGAGUUUGUAAAAGAAUUCGAAAACAUCUAAAGGGGAUGGUCAAUAAUUUUUUUUGAAAAAAGACAUUUUUUAAAAUUAAACUUUUUGUAUUCAUUUGCCUAAAAAUUAUUUUUAUAAUAUAAAAACAACUUUUGACAAUGGAUCUCUUGGUUCUCGCAACGAUGAAGAACGCAGCAAAAUGCGAUAAGUAGUGUGAAUUGCAGAAUACGUGAAUCAUCGAAUCUUUGAACGCAUAUUGCACUUUUUUAGUUUACUAAAAAAGUAUGUCUGUUUGAGUAUCAGUAAAAUAUUCUCAUAAAAAUCAUUGUAUUUUUAUGGUUAUGAGUGUUUACAACGAUACAAGUUGUUUCACUUUAAAUUUUUUUUAAUAUUGAAAUUUUUCUAAUUUUAAUAAUUAAAAUUGGAUAAAAUUUUCCCGUCAAAAGGAAUAACCUAAACAAUUUUAAACGAUUAAUUUUAGCAAAAUUUUCGAAAAAAAGGAAAAUUUUUAUUAAAAUAACUUGAUCUCAAAUCAGAUAAGAGUACCCGCUGAACUUAAGCAUAUCAAUAAGCGGAGGAAAAGAAACUAACAAGGAUUCCCUUAGUAACGGCGAGUGAAGCGGGAAGAGCUCAAAUUUGAAAUCUUCAAGGUUUUACCUUGACGAAUUGUAGUUUAAAGAAGUGUUUUCUGCUGAAGUUUUGGUAAAAGUUCUUUGGAAUAGGACAUCAUAGAGGGUGAGAAUCCCGUAUUUGACCAUUAUUUUCAGCUUUGUGAUACACUUUCAAAGAGUCGGAUUGUUUGGGAAUGCAGUCCAAAAUGGGUGGUAAAUUUCAUCUAAAGCUAAAUAUUGGCGAGAGACCGAUAGCGAACAAGUACCGUGAGGGAAAGAUGAAAAGAACUUUGAAAAGAGAGUUAAACAGUACGUGAAAUUGUCAAAAGGGAAGCGUUUGACACCAGUGUUGUUUUCUCGAAAAUCAAUUAAAAAUGGCUCGAUUUUGUAUUGCUGAGACCUUAAAAGCUCACUGUACAUUUUUCGUGUCUUUUUAAUGCACUUUUCGUUUAACAAGUCAACAUCAGUUUCUUUUGUUGUAAAAGGGUCAUUGGAAGGUGGCUUUCUUUUCGGAGAAAGUGUUUAUAGCCUUUGGCCUCUGCAAUCGGAGAGACUGAGGUCUGCAGCGUAGACUCUUCGGGUUAGAUACAUUUGUGCUAAGUUAUAGCUUUUUAUAGACAACUUGUUGACUAUAAUUAGUCUUGUAGCUUACUCGCUUAUGCUAUUUUACCUACGCUUAGGAUG